AGGCCCGAUGAUGAUGACUGGUGGCCCGUGAGUCAUAGACGAUGAGCACCAUGUGUCUGGAACUCUGAGGUCCUA